rnacentral:tRNA from 1 species
GCGGAAUUAGUGUAGUGGUUAUCACGCAGCAUUCACAAGCCGUCUCUGCUUGCAUCCUGCUGAGGUCGAGGGUUCGAACCCCCCAUUCCGUA